AACACAUGCAAGUCGAACGGCAGCACGGGGCAACCCUGGUGGCGAGUGGCGAACGGGUGAGUAAUGCGUCGGAACGUGCCCAGUAGUGGGGGAUAACCAGUCGAAAGACUGGCUAAUACCGCAUACGACCUAAGGGUGAAAGCGGGGGAUCGCAAGACCUCGCGCUAUUGGAGCGGCCGAUGUCUGAUUAGCUAGUUGGCGGGGUAAGAGCCCACCAAGGCGACGAUCAGUAGCUGGUCUGAGAGGACGACCAGCCACACUGGGACUGAGACACGGCCCAGACUCCUACGGGAGGCAGCAGUGGGGAAUUUUGGACAAUGGGCGCAAGCCUGAUCCAGCCAUGCCGCGUGCGGGAAGAAGGCCUUCGGGUUGUAAACCGCUUUUGGCAGGAANGAAACGGCGNAGCGAACCUCGCGUUAAUGACGGUACCUGCAGAAUAAGCACCGGC
rnacentral:rRNA from 1 species